rnacentral:rRNA from 1 species
UACAGAGGGUGCGAGCGUUGUUCGGAAUUAUUGGGCGUAAAGGGCGCGUAGGCGGUGCGGCAAGUCGGUCGUGAAAUCCCUCGGCUCAACUGAGGAUCGUCGAUCGAUACUGCCGUUCUUGAGGAUUGCAGAGGAGACUGGAAUUCCCGGUGUAGCGGUGAAAUGUGUAGAGAUCGGGAGGAACACCGGUGGCGAAGGCGGGUCUCUGGGCAAUUCCUGACGCUGAGGCGCGAAAGCGUGGGGAGCGAACAGG